UAUACAGCAUGUUACUGUAGAUUUGCAAAGCAUCAUGGUCAAUUUUCAAUGGCGGGUAAAUUCUACAGUAAAAAUAUUUUUUUCUGUGAAUCACAAUACAGCAAUUUCUAGAGGAUUUUUUUUUCCUGCCAUGGAAAGCUGAAAAGCUACGAGAUUCCACACUUUCAUCGGAAUUUUAACUUAAGAAAGCCGCUAAAGUCAACUGUCACCGCCGACACCGCGUGCGUGCGCGUGAAGCAGUGAAGCCAGCCGACCCCGACUCGACAGAAAACGCAGCUAGAGGUUUCAGCAAAGAGGCCUCAACAAUCGUUCCAGAUUCUUCAUCGGGAUAAAUCCAGAGCACAGCAAGUGCAAUUCAAAGGUCCAGGUUAGCCGAGGAACUGGGAAGGUGGUCCAAAGAAAAAACGAGUCCCUCAAUCCACACAUGGCAUUGUUCAUCAGGGACUUCAUUGAUUAUGACUGGAAGAACAACUAAAUACCAGGGUAGAAGACUCCAGGCCAGGAAAUUGACUAGUUCAGGCCCGUUUUUGAAGAAAAAUACAGUUCUGGGAGAAAAACAACGUUCAGGGACCAAAUUCUACUGUUUGAAAUCCUGCUGUUUUUAAAUCAUUUAAUUUGUCUUUUAUACAUUCUAAUUUUAACCGAACAUUUUAAUACAUUUGAACAGGAUUGAUUUGUAUGUUCAGAAAAGUGUUGUUGUAUACAAAACGAAAUGAAAUUUUAACAGAAAAAUGUUAACCUAUUGAAAAUUGUUUUUGCUAUGCUAUUUUUAUUUUAUGAAUUUAGAAAUUUAAAGUGUGUAAAGUUGUCAAUAAAUGGCAUUUUUGUGACAAAAACAGUGUCUUCAUUUUACAGUACACAAAAUGAAUGCAGUAAUCCCUAUUACAGUAGUAAAAUAUGUGAGGUGAUGAAACACAGUACUGUGAUUAUUACUGUAAAAAAGUUUACAGUAUUUUUAAAGUUACUGCAAUUAAGUUUACAGUAAGUAUACUGUGAAAUGAACUACAGCAACUUA